rnacentral:lncRNA from 1 species
AGAUCCGGGUCUCGUGGCUAAGAGUGACGUGGUCUAUCGAAUCCAAACAGAGGGGAGGAGGCCGGCGGCCAGCAGCAUCGGCAGCGACAGCGGCGUCCGGAACGCUCCCGGCCGCCACCCUCCCCGCCCGCCGCUGUUUUGGGCGGGUGAGUGUCCCGUCCCCCCCUCUCUCCCCGGCCCACCGCCCUCCUCGGCGACCCUCUUGGCGUCGCCACUUCUGUGGCCGCGCGCACCCGGGGACCGCUGCGGCGGAGCGGGCGCCUUUGGCUGGGCGCUGCACCCGGGGAGCCCGCAGCCGCUGGCCCGGCAGCCUGCAGCUGGGCUGCACAGGCACCCGCAGUCCGGGUGCUUUCACUUUUAGGGCCCCAUAGGCGGCGCGGGCGUGCAGGGGGUUAGGGACAGUCACCCCGAAGGCCGGGCGGUGGCGUUUGCCUGGUGGGUUCGAUGAAGUCACCCGGACGGGGCCCUUUUGUUGUGGUGUGUUGGUAGCUGCCAUCCUAAAAGCCAGAGCUCUUCUUUAGCCUCCAUUGUGUUGCGGAUUUAAAGGAUUCCCCUUUUCUGUUGGUUCAGUUCUGUUGGUUCAGUACGUGGAGCCGGGGCUGACAAUGGAGCAGGUAGCAGCACCGUUAUCGGAAGGAAUGCAGGGCAACAGCCUGGCAAUGGUUUGAGAUCCGUGUCGCUGCUUAAAGCCGAAGUUUUCCGAAGUGGCUGCUUAAACGUUAGGAUUUUAGCCAAGAUGAUACUUGCUAACUGUAGCGAGGCGGCAGGAUGCUUUUAGUUGCCCCAGUUGGAAAAGCCGAGGAUGCGGCCUUAGUAAUGGAGUGCCCUGGGUUUACAGCUGGAGCGCCUGAUGAGCUUCAGGAAGCAUUUAUACCUGCAUGUGUGGAAGACACCCUCCCGAUUUUGUGUUGUGGUGUCACUUGGCAGCUAUCCGUACCAGAAUUGGGAAAAACCUACAGUUUACCAAGGGUUCUAGUCUGGAAACGCUCGCUGCCCUGUGUCUGCUGUGGAGGUUAGGGGAAGCAGCUGCGUGCUCCUGCUUCAGGUGACUCCCUGCUCGCGCAGAUUCCUUCAGUGUAGCCGCCCACCCUUUUGCCCUCCGCACUCAGACCAGAAAACCAAGCCUGGAUGUUCCAUCGUGUUUUCGAAAAGGGACAUUUCCCCCUCUCCAAGAUACUUAUAGUGUUUCUGUGGAAAGCAGCAGGAAGGAACGAGGAAACAGAUUGAUUGCUGUCCAUCAAAUCUGGGAAGAAGUCUUAGGAAUUUAGACCCCUAUCUUUGAAGGGUGUGCCCUUGGGCAGUAACGGACCUCGUAUCAAAUCUUUUCCUCCUGUGUAGAUCAUGGAUUUUCCCUCUUUUUUUUCUCCCAUACUUGGAAUCUUGAUGAUAUAGACAAAGGAGAAUUUUCUUUUUGCACUUCCCCCUUUUCAGAUUUUUUUAAAAAACCCUCACCCUUUUUACUAUUCUAAAACAAUAUUUUUUGUUUUGUGAGAUGUUUUUGUAGUGAUUGGAGGAGAUGUUUAUAGAAGUACAUGAGGAGGAAAGAAUGAUAAUCGCGUCUCUCCUCUUGCCGGAAUGUUAGUUCAUAUCCUUCAAGAUGCUUUUGCAAUUGCUUUACAAAAAUAUGGUAUCAUACUACAUUUGUUAUUUACUUAUUUAUUUUAUUUAAUGUUAAUGGGUAUUUUGCCUAUAUGUAUGUUUGUGCACCUUGUGCAUUCCUGGGUGCUCAAGGAGGUGGUGGAUCCUUGGGAUUGAAGUUACAGAGGAUUAUGAGUGGCUGUGUUGCUGGGAACCAAACCCAGGUCCUCUGGAAGAGUAGUUAGUGCUGUAAUCUCAGAGCCACCCCUCGCUGUGGCUUUACAUACCGGUACUUUUUUGAGUUAUGUAUGUAUGUAUGUAUGUAUGUACGUAUGUAUUUGCAGCUAUGGCCUAUGGACCUUUUAGGGUGAAAUUCCACCAUGUUGGAAAAGCAGUAGUUAUUAAAGCCAUGGUGUGGAAAGUUUUCCCCCUAUGUCUCUUGGUGAUACUGUGAGAUUUAGUAAAACAGACACCGAAUGGCGUGUAGGCUUACUUGGCUUGUUAAACAAUCCAGGCAGCAAGUGCAAUGUGGAAUGUUACUGAAGUUUUUUGUAUCUAAUGACUUCACAGGGAAGUUUAGGUUUAACCCUUAGUUAUACUGUAUUCCACAUGCAGGCACCUGUUACCAUCCCAGUCCAUAAGAGUCUGGAGGAAUCUAUUUUGCUGCAUAGCAUACUUAAUUACUGUAUUAGCUUUGGGGUUUAGGUAUGUGCCAUCUAUUACACAUUUUUUGUUGUUUGGUUUUUAACCACUGACUCCAAAGGAGCCUAUCCAGAAAUGAAAUGCCCUCUAAACCCCAACUUCAAAGGCUAAGUAUGGUGAAGUAGCCUAAGUCUGCUAAUGCCACUUUGGGCUGAUGUCUCAUAAGCUUCCCUAAGACCUGUAAGUCUCUUUUGUCGUUCAUCAUCUCCUAAGUAAUUCCAGAUGGCAAGUACUCUCUGUCACAUGGUUUUUUUCUUUAAUUUUUACAAAUCUUUACAAUUUAUUUUUUUGUGUAUGUCUAUAUCUAAUGUGUAUGUGAGUGUGUGUGCGCACAUGCCAGAAAAGGGUACUGGAUUCCCUAGUGCUAGAUCUAAAGUAGUUACGAGUUUAUGAUCCACCAGGCAAGGGUACUAGGAACCAAACUGGGGUCCUCUCAACAAGAAGCAAGUGCUCUUAAUGACUGAGCCAUCUCUCCAGCCUUUAAUUAAAAGAGAUUACAGCACUCAGUGUGCACUCCUUUUCCAUCCCUGGUGCUACCGCCCUUGCUAGACUACCACAGUCUCUUAUGUGGUCAACUGAAGUAAUUUCCUGGCCUGUCUCCAACUUUGGCUACUUACUUACGGUGCAUUCCUCAUAUCACAGCCUAAGAGUUUCCUC